GCGUUAAAGUAUUCAUUAUUGUUGAUUUAUUUAUUUUCUUUUUACGAUAGAAUCGAUGAUCGAACUCAAAAUCUUCCCCAUAAUACCGAAAUCCUACUCGGCUUUCCUUACUGUUGAUUUAGCAAUAGAAAGCACACCUUGUCCCGUCUUUUUCUCCUUGCAUAUACAAUCAUACAACAUCUCUCUCUCUCUCUUUCUCUCUCUGAAAACACAAAUCACAAUUCACGGGUCACCGCAAUUUUACAGCUGAUUAGCCAUCAAAGAUACACGCACGUCUUCUUUCUCCUCUUUCUUCUAACCAAACCAACCAUUCAUCAACAUCAAAUUCCAAGCUUUUUAAGCAAUGAAAAUACCAAACUGAAGAGUAUAGAAUGACUCCAUUGCCCAUUAAGCCCUAUGGAUGGUGAAGGACAUGCAAAAUCUAAUGAAAUGACAUAUCAAUUCACUAUUAGGAUAAGUGAGAGCAUUGUAAUCGGUGAAACUCGUUUCCCCUAUUCUUGUUUCUUCAUGUUAGACAAGCCUUCUGAACUUUAAUGUUAGCUUGCUGUUUUUUCAUGAUGUCUAGAUGUGUAUAGAAGAUUUUUGUUGUACAUGAGCAAUGGAGACAGUAGGCAGUAAGGCUGUUGACAAUUUCAAAGCAUUCCAAGAAGUAUGGACGAUAAAUGAAAUAUUGCAUGAUAAUAGUGCAAGCAGUCGCAGAAAUUGACUAUAUAUUUCAGGGCAAUGGCAAGUUGUUGAUGGACUCAGUAUUUCAGAGGAAUGGCAAGUUGUGGAUGGGUAACUUAAUAACAGGAAAUCAUUAACAGUUAGAAGGCGUGUUCAAUUUUGAGAUUCUGAAACAAUGUUCAGCUUUAAAAGGUAUUAGAACACAUCUUUUCCUUCUGUUUUGAUGAAAUCAAAGUUUGGUAUGUGACUCAGAAUAACACUUCUAAAGUGAAUGUGUCUCUAAAAUGAGCAAGUAAGGGGAAGAUAUACUCAUACAGUCAUACUUGUUUAUAUUAGAGACAAAUUUACUUCAGCAAUGUUUUUCCUGUAAAUAUAAGCUACAAAGAUAAGAUUUUCUUUAUUUUUCAAUCACAAAAACAUAUCCAUACUCCAUGAGAAGGUAUGUUAGUGUUAGCUAUAGCCAACAUCAUAGAAACAGCCAGAGCGAAAGCAUGUGAUUCGUUUUUGUAUUUCAUGCUUUGCCCUCGUCUCCGAGCUGACUCAUGUUCAAACCUUUGAAAUGAGCACAUGGUGGCACAACAUAGAUCAUAUCCCCUUAUUAAUUUUUUUUCAAAUUUUUGUUUUCCAACAGAAAAUGGUCAUAAGAUUUAUUUCUCCAACUUGUAAGUUGUGCCACCAUUUUGCAUCUGUUUACCUUUUCAAGGUUGUCUUCAGGUCAUUCUCAACCAUUUUUUGCACACUUCCACACAUACACUUUGAUUAAUUUUAAAUCUAACCUAUUCAGGCAAUAAUCUACAUAUGCUUAACCACCUAACUAUUGGUUAAUGGCUAUUGCUGCCAAAAUCCCUUUUAGUUUUGUGGUUAACUAUAAGUAGAUCAUUGAUUAAGUAAGCUUGAUAGUUGGUAUCAGUAGCAUUAUUCUCCAGCAAGAAAUCAUCAAUGCUCACAAGUAUGUGAUAGACAUGAAUUGCAUAAGUGCAUUUUUUUUUUUGCUUUAAUAAUUUAGAGUAUAUAAAAGUUGACAUAUUAUGCAUUUGCCAUGCAAAUAUGCACAGAAAGCCAAUUCAAUAAAGAGAGAUACCUCUGUCAAAAAUAUAAAAGUAAAGACAGAUACCAUAAACAAUGUUAUAUACUACUGUAUGAAAUGUUAGUUUUCAUGCACUUGAAAAAAGAAUUUGUAUGUGUGAUA